GUCGAACGAAAAUACCAAGCUUGCUUGGUUGAUUAGUGGCGAACGGGUGAGUAACACGUGAGUAACCUGCCCCUUACUUUCCUGGAUAACUGCUCGAAAGGGUAGCUAAUACGGGAUAUUCUGACCAUCCUGCAUGGGUUGGUUUGGAAAGGUUGUUUUUCUGGUAAGGGAUGGGCUCGCGGCCUAUCAGCUUGUUGGUGGGGUGAUGGCCUACCAAGUCUUUGACGGGUAGCCGGCCUGAAAGGGUGGACGGUCGCACUGGGACUGAGAUACGGCCCAGGACUCCUACGGGAGGCAGCAUUGGGGAAUAUUGCACAAUGGGCGCAAGCCUGAUGCAGCGACGCCGCGUGAGGGAUGAAGGCCUUCGGGUUGUAAACCUCUUUCGUCAGGGAACAAGGCACCGUCUUUUGGUGGUGUUGAGGGUACCUGGGUAAGAAGCGCCGGCUAACUACGUGCCAGCAGCCGCGGUAAUACGUAGGGCGCAAGCGUUGUCCGGAAUUAUUGGGCGUAAAGAGCUCGUAGGCGGCUGGUCGCGUCUGUCGUGAAAACUUCCGGCUCAACCGGGGGCUUGCGGUGGGUACGGGCCGGCUAGAGUGCGGUAGGGGUAACUGGAACUCCUGGUGUAGCGGUGGAAUGCGCAGAUAUCAGGAAGAACACCGAUGGCGAAGGCAGGUUACUGGGCCGUUACUGACGCUGAGGAGCGAAAGCGUGGGGAGCGAACAGGAUUAGAUACCCUGGUAGUCCACGCUGUAAACGUUGGGCACUAGGUGUGAGGCUCCUUUCCGGGGGU
rnacentral:rRNA from 1 species